rnacentral:rRNA from 1 species
CGCUGGCGGCACGCCUUAUACAUGCAAGUCGAACGAAGUAGCAAUACUUAGUGGCAGACGGGUGAGUAACAUGUAGGUAUCUGCCCUUUGGCCUGGAAUAACACGAGGAAACUUGUGCUAAUACUGGAUAAGUCUUUACGGAGAAAGCUUUAUGCACCAUUGGAUGAGCCUGCACUUGAUUAGUUUGUUGGUGGGGUAAUGGCCUACCAAGACAAUGAUCAAUAGCUGAUUUGAGAGGAUGAUCAGCCACAUUGGAACUGAGACACGGUCCAAACUCCUACGGGAGGCAGCAGUAGGGAAUCUUGCACAAUGGAGGAAACUCUGAUGCAGCGAUGCCGCGUGAGUGAAGAAGGCCUUUGGGUUGUAAAGCUCUUUCGUCGGGGAAGAAAAUGACUGUACCCGAAUAAGAAGGUCCGGCUAACUUCGUGCCAGCAGCCGCGGUAAUACGAAGGGACCUAGCGUAGUUCGGAAUUACUGGGCUUAAAGAGUUCGUAGGUGGUUAAAAAAGUUGGUGGUGAAAUCCCAGAGCUUAACUCUGGAACUGCCAUCAAAACUUUUUAGCUAGAGUAUGAUAGAGGAAAGCAGAAUUUCUAGUGUAGAGGUGAAAUUCGUAGAUAUUAGAAAGAAUACCGAUUGCGAAGGCAGCUUUCUGGAUCAUUACUGACACUGAGGAACGAAAGCAUGGGUAGCGAAGAGGAUUAGAUACCCUCGUAGUCCAUGCCGUAAACGAUGUGUGUUAGACGUUGGAAAUUUAUUUUCAGUGUCGCAGCGAAAGCAAUAAACACACCGCCUGGGGAGUACGACCGCGGUAACUCAAAUGGAAUGACGG